rnacentral:rRNA from 1 species
CCAGAGCCUGAAUCAGUGUGUGUGUUAGUGGAAGCGUCUGGAAAGGCGCGCGAUACAGGGUGACAGCCCCGUACACAAAAAUGCACAUGCUGUGAGCUCGAUGAGUAGGGCGGGACACGUGGUAUCCUGUCUGAAUAUGGGGGGACCAUCCUCCAAGGCUAAAUACUCCUGACUGACCGAUAGUGAACCAGUACCGUGAGGGAAAGGCGAAAAGAACCCCGGCGAGGGGAGUGAAAAAGAACCUGAAACCGUGUACGUACAAGCAGUGGGAGCACGCUUAGGCGUGUGACUGCGUACCUUUUGUAUAAUGGGUCAGCGACUUAUAUUCUGUAGCAAGGUUAACCGAAUAGGGGAGCCGAAGGGAAACCGAGUCUUAACUGGGCGUUAAGUUGCAGGGUAUAGACCCGAAACCCGGUGAUCUAGCCAUGGGCAGGUUGAAGGUUGGGUAACACUAACUGGAGGACCGAACCGACUAAUGUUGAAAAAUUAGCGGAUGACUUGUGGCUGGGGGUGAAAGGCCAAUCAAACCGGGAGAUAGCUGGUUCUCCCCGAAAGCUAUUUAGGUAGCGCCUCGUGAACUCAUCUCCGGGGGUAGAGCACUGUUUCGGCAAGGGGGUCAUCCCGACUUACCAACCCGAUGCAAACUGCGAAUACCGGAGAAUGUUAUCACGGGAGACACACGGCGGGUGCUAACGUCCGUCGUGAAGAGGGAAACAACCCAGACCGCCAGCUAAGGUCCCAAAGUCAUGGUUAAGUGGGAAACGAUGUGGGAAGGCCCAGACAGCCAGGAUGUUGGCUUAGAAGCAGCCAUCAUUUAAAGAAAGCGUAAUAGCUCACUGGUCGAGUCGGCCUGCGCGGAAGAUGUAACGGGGCUAAACCAUG